rnacentral:rRNA from 1 species
GACCUCAAAUCAGGUAAGAAUACCCGCUGAACUUAAGCAUAUCAAUAAGCGGAGGAAAAGAAAAUAACAAUGAUUCCCUCAGUAACGGCGAGCGAAGAGGGAUAAGCUCAAAUUUUAAAUCUGUUGGGUUUCACCUAACAGAGUUGUAUUUUGAAGAAACGUUUUCUGCGUCCAGGAUUAGCCUAAAUCCUUUGGGAUAAGGUAUCAUGGAGGGUGAGAAUCCCGUUCAUGGUUAAUCUUAAGGAUGCUCUACGAUACGUUCUCCAAGAGUCGAGUUGUUUGGGAUUGCAGCUCAAAAUGGGAGGUAAAUUUCUCCUAAGGCUAAAUAUUGGCGAGAGACCGAUAGCGAACAAGUACCGUGAGGGAAAGAUGAAAAGAACUUUGAAAAGAGAGUUAAACAGUACGUGAAAUUGUUGAAAGGGAAACGAUUGAAGUCAGUCAUACCAACGGGAAAUCAACCUCUUGAGUUUGGUCUCGUGGGUUUCGAAGAGUUUAAAAGCCUUCGGAUUUUCGAGAUUGGGCUCUUCUGGUGUACUUUCUCGUACGGUUAGUCAACAUCGGUUUUGAAUGUCAUAAAAUGACUGGAGGAAUGUGGCUUCGAUCUCGUAUUGAAGUGUUAUAGCCUUUGGUAGAUGUGAUGUUCGAGACCGAGGAUUGCAACGGAUACCCUUCUGGGCUAUUCGUCUGAUCUCUGAAACGUUGCCUUGAUGUCGAAAGCUUGCUUAUGAUGUUAGGGUAUUACGGUCAAAAGGUUAGAACGGAUUAAAUUCGUUAAGGAUGUUGACGUAAUGACUUUAAACGACCCGUCUUGAAACACGGACCAAGGAGUCUAACAUAUAUGCGAGUGUUUGGGUGAAUAAACCCUUGCGCGUAAUGAAAGUGAUUUUGGUGAGAUACGGAUUAAUUUUUUCGGAGCAUCAUCGACCGAUCAGGAUAUUU